rnacentral:lncRNA from 1 species
CUGCUGCUUCGCCACGAAAGAGUUCCCGUGCCGUGGGAGUAAGUCUGGGACCUCUGGUCGGACCGGAGAGUCGCAGCUGUGUGUUAGGGCUAGGAUGGCUCCUGGAUGCGCGUGACGCAAGUGACCUUGCGUGUAAAGGGAUACAUGAUCCCUUAAUUCAGGCUCAGGCUGAAGAACUGACCCACUUACAACAGAAGAUACAGGAAGGGAGAGGUGUCUGCUACCUUUUCACCCAGCAUGUGAAGAACACAGUCAAGUCUUUUGAGGGCCUUCUCAGGAACACUGACAUUGCCUACUACCAGAGACAGAGAUUCUGUGAGCAAAUGGUACAAGGAAGCCAGCUGACAGAGAUCCUUGUCAGAAAACUUGCCACAGAGAGACGGGGUUUCACCACAUUGGCCAGGCCGAUCUCAAACUCCUGACCUCAUGUGACCCACAUUGGCCUGGCAAAGUGCUGGGAUUACAAGCAUGAGCCACCACACUGGCCUAGCUUCUUUAAUACAAGAAUCAACCCCAAUGCUCACUAACAAACUGAGAAGAAAAAAAAGAAUUACCCCCAACAACAUCUGAGGAAGCACAACAGGGACAGACUUGAAGAAAAUCACAAUG